AGUGAACGCUGGCGGUAGGCCUAACACAUGCAAGUCGAACGGCAGCACAGGAGAGCUUGCUCUCUGGGUGGCGAGUGGCGGACGGGUGAGGAAUACAUCGGAAUCUACUCUGUCGUGGGGGAUAACGUAGGGAAACUUACGCUAAUACCGCAUACGACCUACGGGUGAAAGCAGGGGACCUUCGGGCCUUGCGCGAUUGAACGAGCCGAUGUCGGAUUAGCUAGUUGGCGGGGUAAAGGACCACCAAGGCGACGAUCCGUAGCUGGUCUGAGAGGAUGAUCAGCCACACUGGAACUGAGACACGGUCCAGACUCCUACGGGAGGCAGCAGUGGGGAAUACUGGACAAUGGGCGCAAGCCUGAUCCAGCCAUACCGCGUGGGUGAAGAAGGCCUUCGGGUUGUAAAGCCCUUUUGUUGGGAAAGAAAUCCAGCUGGCUAAUACCCGGUUGGGAUGACGGUACCCAAGGAAUAAGCACCGGCUAACUUCGUGCCAGCAGCCGCCGCUG
rnacentral:rRNA from 1 species